UUUCGCAAUGCCCGAAAGGGUGACGAAGCGACGCCGCGUGUGGGAAGAAGGCCUUCGGGUUGUAAACCACUGUCGGGAGUUAAGAAAUACAAGGAUAUUAAUAGUGUCUUUGUUUGACUAAGGCUCCGGAGGAAGCCACGGCUAACUCUGUGCCAGCAGCCGCGGUAAUACAGAGGCGGCAAGCGUUGUUCGGAAUUAUUGGGCGUAAAGAGCACGUAGGCGGCUAUGUAAGUCGGUUGUGAAAGCCUUCCGCUCAACGGAAGAACAGCAUCCGAUACUACAUGGCUUGAGUGCGGGAGGGGAGAGUGGAACUUCUAGUGGAGCGGUGAAAUGCGUAGAUAUCAGAAGGAACGCCGGCGGCGAAAGCGGCUCUCUGGCCCAUAACUGACGCUGAGUGUGCGAAAGCUAGGGGAGCAAACGGGAUUAGAUACCCCGGUAGUCCUAGCCGUAAACGAUGGGCACUAAGUAGAGGGGUUUU
rnacentral:rRNA from 1 species